GGGCCCUCGUGCGUGGUCGGUGGUUCAGCUGAGGGCCACAGUCAAUCUCACCCAGACCUGCUCAGCUCUCUUCAGCCCUCCAGCUUCUCCCUGACUCACUUCCUGGACCUUCCUUUGGCACAGUGCUUCGAGAAUUAUCUGCAAAGGCGUCUUUCUUCAGAUCAGCUGAAGUCCCUCUCCCCCUGACUACAGCAUCUCUAUUUGUUCAGAGAACAGAAAGUUAAUCAGAGGGAAAAUUUCCUUUGGUUCUUUGCUCCCAUCUGUCAUGAGGAUACACUUUCUGAUAAGCUGGAGCUAUCAUCAUUACAAAAUGAGUGGAAAAGCCCCCCAAUGACUUGAAGAUGUUCCUGCUGCUUCUUUGAUAGCAGCCGGGAUGACAAUCUGAGUCGUUUGAAUUUAAUGCUGUGAUCCUCCCAUGGCGUAUGUACA